rnacentral:rRNA from 1 species
CAGUCGCCGCGGUAAUACGAAGGGUGCAAGCGUUAAUCGGAAUUACUGGGCGUAAAGCGUGCGUAGGCGGUGAGUUAAGUCUGCUGUGAAAUCCCCGGGCUCAACCUGGGAAUGGCAGUGGAUACUGGCUCGCUAGAGUGUGUCAGAGGAUGGUGGAAUUCCCGGUGUAGCGGUGAAAUGUGUAGAGAUCGGGAGGAACAUCAGUGGCGAAGGCGGCCAUCUGGGACAACACUGACGCUGAGGCACGAAAGCGUGGGGAGCAAACAGGAUUAGAUACCCCAGUAGUCCCUGUCUCUUAUAC